UUAGAUUAAGUUAUUAAGGGCGCACGGUGGAUGCCUUGGCACUAGAAGCCGAAGAAGGACGUUACUAACGACGAUAUGCUUUGGGGAGCUGUAAGUACGCUUUGAUCCAGAGAUUUCCGAAUGGGGAAACCCAGCAUGAGUUAUGUCAUGUUAUCCACAUAUGAAUACAUAGUAUGUGAGAAGGCACACCCGGAGAACUGAAACAUCUUAGUACCCGGAGGAAGAGAAAGAAAACUCGAUUCCCUGAGUAGCGGCGAGCGAAACGGGAAUAGCCCAAACCAACAGGCUUGCCUGUUGGGGUUGUAGGACACUCAACACGGAGUUACAAAGGAAAUAAUUAGACGAAUGGCUUUGGAAAAGCCAACCAUAGAAGGUAAAAGUCCUGUAGUCGAAAGUUAUUUCUCUCCUGAGUGGAUCCUGAGUACGGCGGAACACGUGAAAUUCCGUCGGAAUCUGGGAGGACCAUCUCCCAAGGCUAAAUACUCUCUAGUGACCGAUAGUGAACCAGUACCGUGAGGGAAAGGUGAAAAGCACCCCGGAAGGGGAGUGAAAUAGAACCUGAAACCGUGUGCUUACAAAUAGUCAGAGCCCGUUAAUGGGUGAUGGCGUGCCUUUUGUAGAAUGAACCGGCGAGUUACGAUUUGAUGCAAGGUUAAGCAGUAAAUGUGGAGCCGUAGCGAAAGCGAGUCUGAAUAGGGCGAAUGAGUAUCUGGUCGUAGACCCGAAACCAAGUGAUCUACCCAUGUCCAGGUUGAAGUUCAGGUAACACUGAAUGGAGGACCGAACCGACUUACGUUGAAAAGUGAGCGGAUGAGGUGUGGGUAGCGGAGAAAUUCCAAUCGAACUUGGAGAUAGCUGGUUCUCUCCGAAAUAGCUUUAGGGCUAGCCUCAAGUGGUGAUUAUUGGAGGUAGAGCACUGUUUGGACGAGGGGCCCCUCUAGGGUUACCGAAUUCAGACAAACUCCGAAUGCCAAAUAAUUCAACUUGGGAGUUAGACUAUGGGUGAUAAGGUCCAUAGUCGAAAGGGAAACAGCCCAGACCACCAGCUAAGGUCCCAAAAUAUAUGUUAAGUGGAAAAGGAUGUGGCGUUGCCCAGACAACUAGGAUGUUGGCUCAGAAGCAGCCAUCAUUUAAAGAGUGCGUAAUAGCUCACUAGUCGAGUGACACUGCGCCGAAAAUGUACCGGGGCUAAACAUAUUACCGAAGCUGUGGAUUAUCCGUAAGGAUAGUGGUAGGAGAGCGUUCUAAACGUGUCGAAGCAUGAUCGUAAGGACAUGUGGAAUGUUUAGAAGUGAGAAUGCCGGUGUGAGUAGCGAAAGAUGGG
rnacentral:rRNA from 1 species